rnacentral:rRNA from 1 species
CCUACGGGUGGCUGCAGUGAGGAAUAUUGGUCAAUGGACGGGAGUCUGAACCAGCCAUGCAGCGUGAAGGAUGACUGCUCUAUGAGUUGUAAACUUCUUUUGUAUGGGGAUAAAAUGUUCCACGUGUGGGGUUUUGUAUGUACCAUAUGAAUAAGGAUCGGCUAACUCCGUGCCAGCAGCCGCGGUAAUACGGAGGAUCCGAGCGUUAUCCGGAUUUAUUGGGUUUAAAGGGUGCGUAGGUGGAUUGAUAAGUUAGUGGUGAAAGUGUGCGGCUCAACAAUGAAACUGCAGUUGAAACUGGAGGACUAGAGUACAGUAGAGGUGGGCGGAAUGCGUGGUGUAGCGGUGAAAUGCUUAGAUAUCACGAAGAACUCCGAUUGCGAAGGCAGUUCACUGGACUGCAACUGACACUGAGGCACGAAAGUGUGGGGAUCGAACAGGAUUAGAUACCCCGGUAGUC